rnacentral:lncRNA from 1 species
GAAAUACAAACGCUCACACUCGUCAAAGUCAGUAGAAACAGUUUCAGGAUUAUAAUUAACCAUAAUGGUGCUAUGACCAAGUUUUCUAAGAGUACGAGCACAAGAGACACCGCACCAAUCAAACUCAACACUUGAACCAAUACGGUAGACACCAGAUCCAAGAACCAUAGUUCCAUGUUCAUUAAAAUCUAUGUCAUGAGAGGAUGCGUUGUAGCUAGUGUACAAGUAGUUCGUAUGUGCCGGGAAUUCUGCUGCGAGGGUAUCGAUCUUCUUAACCCAGGGAUGAACAUCAAGACGUUUUCUACGAGCGCGAACGUCUAAUUCAGAAGCUCCGACAAGCUUGGAGAUUUGAAGAUCAGAGAAACCAGUCUUUUUAGCACGCAACAUGAUUUCUUUAUUAAGUCCAUACAAAGAACCAAUUUCUUCCAACUCUUUGUAAACCUUAGCCAUAUUCGCGAGUUUGCUCAAGAACCAUUUGUCAAUCUUGGUCAAAUCAUGAAUUUUAUCAAUAGAAUAGCCUUGGUUAAGCAUUGCCUCAACAACAGCAAAGAAGCGACGAUCGGUGGGUACACUGAGGGCAUUGUCUAAAUCCUUGAAGGGCAUGGCCAUAAAACCCAAAAAGGAGGGAUCGACUUGACGCAAUGCCUUUUGAAGAGAUUCCUCAAAAGUACGACCAACGGCCAUAACUUCACCGACACUUUUCAUGGAAGAUCCAAUUUCGCGAUUGACGUAUUGGAACUUGCUCAAAUCCCAACGGGGAAUCUUAGUAACAACAUAAUCCAAAGAGGGUUCAAAGUUAGCAGUGGUAGUUUUAGUAACAGCAUUGGGAAGUUCAGGAAGAGUGUGACCUAAAGCAAUUUUUGCAGCGGUGUAUGCCAAUGGGUAACCGGUGGCCUUAGAGGCCAAAGCAGAAGAACGAGAAAGACGAGCAUUUACCUCGAUAACACGAUAUUCCAAACUGUUGGGACUCAACGCAUAUUGCACGUUACACUCACCGACAACACCUAAGUGACGGAUAAUCUUAAUGGCAGCAGUACGGAGCAUAUGAUAUUCUUCAUCAGAAAGGGUUUGAGAGGGGGCAACGACGAUGGAAUCACCAGUAUGGAUACCAAGAGGAUCAAAGUUUUCCAUGUUACAGACGGUAAUGCAAUUGUUAGCAGCAUCACGAACAACUUCGUAUUCAACCUCUUUCCAGCCUUUCAAUGAUUUUUCAACCAAAAUUUGGGGGGUUAAAGACAAUGACUUAGCAGCCAUCGAUUGCAAUUCCUCCUUAUUGUUUGCAAAACCAGAGCCAAGACCUCCAAGGGAAUACGCUGAACGGAUGAUAACAGGGUAACUAACCUUUUCGGCAGCCUGAAGAGCUUCAUCGACGGUAGAAACUGCAACUGAUUCAGCAAUAGGAAUAUUGAUCUCGUUCAAAGCCUUGGCAAAUAAAUCACGAUCUUCGGAAGUUUUAAGAGUGGAAAUUGGAGUACCCAACACCUUGACAUGAUUACGGGCAAAGACACCCAUGUCGUCCAAUUGGAUACCUACAUUAAGGGCAGUUUGACCACCGAAUGUAAGGAGAAUGCCAUCAGGGUUUUCACGUUCAAUGAGGUGGGUAAGGUAUUCAGCAGUGACAGGCAAGAAGUAGAUCUCAUCAGCUAAGCUAUGAGAGGAUUGGAUAGUAGCAAUGUUAGGAUUGAUAAGAAUAGUAUGGACAGAGCUUUCGCGCAAAGCUUUAAUAGCUUGAGCGCCCGAAUAAUCGAAUUCACCGGCUUGGCCAAUGGAUAAACCACCAGAGCCGACUACAACGACUUUCUUAACUUUCUCAUGCUCGGCGGCCUUAAUAUGACCAGAGCGGAUAUAAGCAUUGGCAUCUGGGGUAUUACUUUCUUUAACCUUAUCGUUAAAGUUUGUGGCACUGGCGGAAAUUUUGCGAUGUGGAACACCGGACCAUUGAGGAAGCAAGUGUUUACUCAAUUGAGAUACACCAGCAGUUUCAAGAACUCUGUUAGACCCAAGAAAGGCUUUAGAAAUGCCAGGAAUGGCACGACGCAUUGACGUAGCCCACAAUGCCAUUUUCACCUGCAAUCCAAGCUACUUUUUUCAAUUACUUACUAUGAAACAAGCAGAGAUGCUGGUUCGAAUGGAGCAGCUGGAUUAGUUUUUAAAAAAUAGAACAAGGGGUGUUUGCAAAAGCUAAGAGAACAAACUCUUCUUAAGCUGAAAUUUGUGACUUGCUUCUAUUGAUCUUUGAUCUUAACUCUCACAGUACUGAUAAUGAUGAUAAGGAGAUAAAUGUAAUGCAGCAAGUUUUUCGAUAUGGAAAGAUUCGUGGUAGAUAGCCAACUUCGAUAUAUAAUAAUUAAGGAAUCCUAUGAAAAAUGCCUUAACUUACAAUUAACGAUCAGGAAUUUUUGGAGUAUACAUAUAGUAUUAACGAAAAAAUAUUGGUUAAUGGAUUUGCUUUAAGCAAGGGUGUUUAAAUCUGGUAAAGGCAGUAAAUGCAGGAUUAUUACUAUCGAUAGUUGAGCUCAGUUUAAAUGUUUUAAAUGAUACAACAAUUCGUAUAAUUAAUAACAGCCCAUUCUUUACAACUGAUAAUGAGAUGUGGGAUUACUUUUUUCU